rnacentral:rRNA from 1 species
UACGUAGGGUGCAAGCGUUAAUCGGAAUUACUGGGCGUAAAGCGUGCGCAGGCGGUUUUGUAAGUCUGUCGUGAAAGCCCCGGGCUCAACCUGGGAAUUGCGAUGGAGACUGCAAGGCUGGAGUGCGGCAGAGGGGGAUGGAAUUCCGCGUGUAGCAGUGAAAUGCGUAGAUAUGCGGAGGAACACCGAUGGCGAAGGCAAUCCCCUGGGCCUGCACUGACGCUCAUGCACGAAAGCGUGGGGAGCAAACAGG